rnacentral:rRNA from 1 species
AUUGAACGCUGGCGGCAGGCCUAACACAUGCAAGUCGGACGGACCCUUCGGGGUUAGUGGCGGACGGGUGAGUAACACGUGGGAACGUGCCUUUAGGUUCGGAAUAGCUCCUGGAAACGGGUGGUAAUGCCGAAUGUGCCCUUCGGGGGAAAGAUUUAUCGCCUUUAGAGCGGCCCGCGUCUGAUUAGCUAGUUGGUGAGGUAAUGGCUCACCAAGGCGACGAUCAGUAGCUGGUCUGAGAGGAUGACCAGCCACAUUGGGACUGAGACACGGCCCAAACUCCUACGGGAGGCAGCAGUGGGGAAUCUUGCGCAAUGGGCGAAAGCCUGACGCAGCCAUGCCGCGUGGAUGAUGAAGGUCUUAGGAUUGUAAAAUCCUUUCACCGGUGAAGAUAAUGACUGUAGCCGGAGAAGAAGCCCCGGCUAACUUCGUGCCAGCAGCCGCCGUAAGAC